rnacentral:rRNA from 1 species
GACGAACGCUGGCGGCGUGCCUAAUACAUGCAAGUCGAACGCUUCUUUCCUCCUGAGUGCUUGCACUCAAUUGGAAAGAGGAGUGGCGGACGGGUGAGUAACACGUGGGUAACCUACCCAUCAGAGGGGGAUAACACUUGGAAACAGGUGCUAAUACCGCAUAACAGUUUAUGCCGCAUGGCAUAAGAGUGAAAGGCGCUUUCGGGUGUCGCUGAUGGAUGGACCCGCGGUGCAUUAGCUAGUUGGUGAGGUAACGGCUCACCAAGGCCACGAUGCAUAGCCGACCUGAGAGGGUGAUCGGCCACACUGGGACUGAGACACGGCCCAGACUCCUACGGGAGGCAGCAGUAGGGAAUCUUCGGCAAUGGACGAAAGUCUGACCGAGCAACGCCGCGUGAGUGAAGAAGGUUUUCGGAUCGUAAAACUCUGUUGUUAGAGAAGAACAAGGACGUUAGUAACUGAACGUCCCCUGACGGUAUCUAACCAGAAAGCCACGGCUAACUACGUGCCAGCAGCCGCGGUAAUACGUAGGUGGCAAGCGUUGUCCGGAUUUAUUGGGCGUAAAGCGAGCGCAGGCGGUUUCUUAAGUCUGAUGUGAAAGCCCCCGGCUCAACCGGGGAGGGUCAUUGGAAACUGGGAGACUUGAGUGCAGAAGAGGAGAGUGGAAUUCCAUGUGUAGCGGUGAAAUGCGUAGAUAUAUGGAGGAACACCAGUGGCGAAGGCGGCUCUCUGGUCUGUAACUGACGCUGAGGCUCGAAAGCGUGGGGAGCAAACAGGAUUAGAUACCCUGGUAGUCCACGCCGUAAACGAUGAGUGCUAAGUGUUGGAGGGUUUCCGCCCUUCAGUGCUGCAGCAAACGCAUUAAGCACUCCGCCUGGGGAGUACGACCGCAAGGUUGAAACUCAAAGGAAUUGACGGGGGCCCGCACAAGCGAUGGAGCAUGUGGUUUAAUUCGAAGCAACGCGAAGAACCUUACCAGGUCUUGACAUCCUUUGACCACUCUAGAGAUAGAGCUUUCCCUUCGGGGACAAAGUGACAGGUGGUGCAUGGUUGUCGUCAGCUCGUGUCGUGAGAUGUUGGGUUAAGUCCCGCAACGAGCGCAACUCUUAUUGUUAGUUGCCAUCAUUUAGUUGGGCACUCUAGCGAGACUGCCGGUGACAAACCGGAGGAAGGUGGGGAUGACGUCAAAUCAUCAUGCCCCUUAUGACCUGGGCUACACACGUGCUACAAUGGGAAGUACAACGAGUCGCUAGACCGCGAGGUCAUGCAAAUCUCUUAAAGCUUCUCUCAGUUCGGAUUGCAGGCUGCAACUCGCCUGCAUGAAGCCGGAAUCGCUAGUAAUCGCGGAUCAGCACGCCGCGGUGAAUACGUUCCCGGGCCAUGUACACACCGCCCGUCACACCACGAGAGUUUGUAACACCCGAAGUCGGUGAGGUAACCUUUUUGGAGCCAGCCGCCUAAGGUGGGAUAGAUGAUUGGGGUG